UAGUCCACGCCCUAAACGAUGUACACUCGAUGUUUGAGUCCUAGACUUGAGCAUCCAAGCGAAAGUGAUAAGUAAUCCACCUGGGGAGUACGAUCGCAAGGUUGAAACUCAAAGGAAUUGACGGGGGCCCGCACAAGCGGUGGAGCAUGUGGUUUAAUUCGAUGAUACGCGAGGAACCUUACCUGGGCUUAAAUGCAGAACGACAGACUGGGAAACCAGUCCUUCUUCGGACGGUCUGCAAGGUGCUGCAUGGUUGUCGUCAGCUCGUGCUGUGAGGUGUCGGGUUAAGUCCCAUAACGAGCGCAACCCCUAUUCUUAGUUGCCAGCGGAUAAUGCCGGGGACUCUAAGGAAACUGCCCGCGCAAGCGGAGAGGAAGGUGGGGAUGACGUCAAAUCAUCACGACCCUUACGUCCAGGGCUACACACGUGCUACAAUGGUCGGUACAAAGGGCAGCUACCAGGUGACUAGAUGCUAAUCCCUAAAGCCGAUCUCAGUUCGGAUUGG
rnacentral:rRNA from 1 species